GUUGCUUUUGUCUUGGCUGAGGACGGGAUUGGCAGAGGGGUGGGCGGAGGGAAGGGGGCUCCUCGCCGGUGAUUAGCGGCAGGUCGGCCAGGCGGAGAUGGCGCGCGGCGGGUCCCCGACAAGGUGCGCUUGAAUGCGGGAUGUGUUCUUCGCAGGGACGGCCGCUGGAGAGGAGCUCGGCGGGGCUCUCCUGUCGUGCUCGCCACCAGCAAGCGCAUGUCGGUGGGGGAGGUAGUAAUCGCCGGCGGCGUUGGGGCGCAAGCACCAAGAAGACCGUCGACAGCCGCAAUUCUUCCGGUAUCUUCUUUUCCUUCUAAAAUGUGUUCUUCAUGCCACUAUCAUGUCUCAGAGGGAUGCCUGCCGGCCAUCACCGGCCCAUGCCAAGUACUUCCACUCUUGGCAAAACGUUCAUCAUUUUUCUACUUUUCAGUUAAUUUAUGGGCAAUAGUUUUUGCUCAGCAUUCACCCAUGCCCACACAUAUCUCUCUAUAAGCUAUGUACAUUUUAUUGGAUCAUUUUUUCACAUUCAGUUCAGUUCAAUUAUCGCAACAGUUUACCAUUUAGUUCAGUUUUGGGUUUCAUCAAUUUCAGUUAUGAUUUCAGCCUUGUUUAAUUUAGUUGAUCAGCAUCCCAACAUCAGUCUUGUAGUUGAUUCACUUAUUUUAGUCUGUAGUUGCUACUCAUUUAAGCUUGGGAAAAAGAGCAUCACUGGGACCGAGUACGACACCGCAUCCGAUGGUCUGAUCUUCUUCAAGAAUGGAUGGAAGAAGUUUCUUACAAGGACAGGACUUGAGAUUGGAGCGGAUGUGUUAGUAACAUGCAAGACAAAGGUCGGCAAUGAGCUCGAGAUGAUCGUUCUUACUCUAUUGGUCUAUCAAUGUUUAUUAUUAUCAGUCAUUGUUCUUAUAGUUGACUCACCAGUCCAUGUUCAGAGAGCACACAUCACUAUUUUGUCUAUCAUUCAUGAGUUUUACACUUUUACUCAUCAUUUAGUCUUUCAGAUGAUAUUAUCUUCUUUGUUAUCUUCUCAAUUUCUUUUAUUUACUCCUUUUGGGCCAAGCAUGAGUUAAAUAAGCAGACAAUCCUUCAUUAUA